rnacentral:rRNA from 1 species
GACGAACGCUGGCGGCGUGCUUAACACAUGCAAGUCGAACGGAAAGGCCCUGCUUUUGUGGGGUGCUCGAGUGGCGAACGGGUGAGUAACACGUGAGUAACCUGCCCUUGACUUUGGGAUAACUUCAGGAAACUGGGGCUAAUACCGGAUAGGAGCUCCUGCUGCAUGGUGGGGGUUGGAAAGUUUCGGCGGUUGGGGAUGGACUCGCGGCUUAUCAGCUUGUUGGUGGGGUAGUGGCUUACCAAGGCUUUGACGGGUAGCCGGACUGAGAGGGUGACAGGCCCCAGUGGGCCUCGGAUACGGCCCAGAGUCAUACGGGAGGCAGCAGUGGGGAAUAGUGCACAAUGGGCGGAAGCCUGAUGCAGCAACGCCGCGUGCGGGAUGACGGCUUUCGGGUUGUAAACCGCUUUCGCCUGUGACGAAGCGUGAGUGACGGUAAUGGGUAAAGAAACACCGGCUAACUACGU